CGAGUAAUAGCUCAGUGGUAAGAGUACCUACUUAGCAUGCAUGAGGUCCUGGGUUCAAUCCCCAAGUACCUCCA
rnacentral:tRNA from 1 species